GGGAUUGGACCCGCCACCUCAUGGUUCCUAGUCGGAAUCAUUUCCGGUGUGCCACAACAGGAACUCCUCUCUUUCUGUUUCAGAAAUGAGUCCAUUUUUUGUGCAUGCAUGUGUGUGUGUGUGUGUGUGUGUGUAUUCCACAUAUAAGUAAUAUUAUGUGAUAUUUGUCUUUGUCUGGUUUACUUCUAAUCUCCUGUACUGAUGUCCUCAUACUUCCUGAUUUGCUAGUGUCACCCUAUCCCGGGAGUAGGUCCUUGGUGCUGUUCUUUUUUCUUGUCUAUGCUUCUUUUAUUGAUGAUCUCAUCCAGUCUCCUGCCGUGCUCAGUAGUUAAGGAUCUGGUGUUGUCAUAAGCUGUAGUGUAGGUCACAGAUGUAGCUCAGAUCUUGUGUUACUUGGGCUGUGGUGUUGGCUGNCUGCAGCUCUGAUUCAACCCCUAGCCUGGGAAAUUCCAUAUGCCAAGGGUGCGGCCUUAAAUAGACAAAAACAAACAAACAAAAAACAGAUAUAAUAAAUGUGUAUCCGUUAAGUCAGACAUUCAUGUUAACUUGCUAUGAGAGCCAUAGAAUACCUAAUGUAAUAAUAAGAUUAAAAUUUUAUCCUCAAAUAGCUACUGGAAUCAGUGAUGGGUGAGAUGAGUCAUUUGCAAAUUCCAUCCCUACCUUGAAAUACUAGAUUGUAUGUUUAUUAUUUUCACACCUUAAGAUCUGAAUUUAUUUAAAGAAUCUGGGUGUUCUUUCAAUUCCUGAGCCUUCAUAAGCUUUCAUUGUUUAUUUUCUAAUUUGUAAGUGAUAAAUGAUCUUUAAAAUUAUGUUUAAUCGAUACCCUUUCUUUUCAAUCUGAAAGUCAUUGAUGUUGAGUAACAAGAGGAAAAUUGGACAUAAUAUAUCUUGCUUUGGUAUCAUAUAUUAUUGCUCUUAAUGUGCAAUUUAUUAUUUUCCUCCUCAUUUUUUAAUUUGCUUUACUUUGAAUAAAUUUGAGCUUAUACUUUGGGAAAUUCUGUAAUAAGGUGUUAUGAAAUACAUUUAGAAUAUAAUUCAUUUGUUGGUGAUAAUUGUUACCAUAGAAAUAUUUCCAUAUCAAAUUUGUUUGAAAAUGUGGACUAGCUAAAUCAUAGUACUGUGGAUAAUAGAGUAAUAAAAAUUCAUGUACCUAUGGUAAUUAACUGAAAGCCCCGGAGGAUUUCAGUAGUAAGCAAUGUAAAACUGUGUAACACAAGCAAAACCAAGAAUACCAAUGAUUUCUGUGCCUUAAAAGAUCUUGUUUUUUGUGUGUUUACUAUUAUCAAGAUAUCCUUUAGACCAUAAGGCACACAAAUCCUAAAUGAACUUUCUUCCCAUUUUUGAAGGUUUAUUGAAGUAUAGUUGAUUUGUAAGGUUGUGAUAAUUUCUUCUAUAAAACAAAGUGAUUCAGUUAUACAUAAACACACAUGCAGUCUCUUUCAGAUUCUAUUCGCACAUAGAGUAUCACAGACUAUUGGGUAGAGUUUUCUGUGCCAUUCAGCAGGUCUAAUUGUUGAUUGUCAUAUAGUAUACUCCUGUAAAAAGUCUCCAGAUUAUGGUAUAGAGCUGAUAACACCACAGAAGCACACCUCAUAGCCAUUUUUACUCAAUCUUUGCACAUACGCCUCCACCCAAUAUAAUCAUUAUUCUGACUCUGUUUUUUGCAGUUUUUUUUUUAAUUCAUGUAAUAAAAUACCAAAUGCAUCUUCUUUUCCCUGCCAUUUUCACUUAGUAGUUUCAUCUGUGUUGUUUCAUCAAGAAAUAAUUUUUUUAUUGCUAUGUAGUAAUUUGAUUUUUGAUAAUAUAAAAGAUGUAUGUAUGGGGUCUAUUGCUAAUGGACAUUUUGGUUAAAUUUAGUUUUGACACUUGUAAAUAAAAAUUCUAUGAACAUCUUUAUUUGUGUUUUGUUUGGGUGCAUAUGUACUGUAUUCUCCUUGGAUUUAUACUAGGAAUAGAAUUACUAGAAUUGCUGGGUCAUAGGGUAGGCUUAUUACUAGAAACCAUCACAUAUUUUUAAAGUGAUUUUUAAAAAUCACUUUACACUCCUGUUAACUAUAUAUAUGAGUUCCAAUUAUUCAUGUGUUUCCUAACUUUGAUAUUUAUAGUAUAUUUUAUCUUUUUGUGCAUGUGUGUGUGUGUGUGUGUUUGCCUUUUCUAGGGCCACUCCCAAGUCAUAUGGAGAUUCCCAGGCUAGGGGUCUAAUCAGAGCCAUAACCACCGGACUACGCUAGAGUCACAGCAGCACGGGAUCCCAGCCAUGUCUGCAACCUACACCACAGCUCAAGGCAAUGCAGGAUCCUCAACCCACUGAGCAAGGCCAGGGAUCAAACCCACAACCUCAUGGUUCCUGGUCUGAUUCGUUAACCACUGCACCACGAUGGGAACUCCUUUUUUUAUCUUUUAAUAUCAGCUACUCUUGUCAUUCUGUAAUAUCUUCUUGUGCUUUUCAUUUGCAUUUUUCUGAUAAUUUAGUGAUGUUGGGAUCACAUUUAUAUGCUUAUUGACCAUUUGCAUAUUUUCUUUUGUGAAUUGCCUAUUUAUAUUUUUGCACAUUUUUCAAGCAGUUGGCCUAUCUUUUUUUUUUUGUCUUUGUCUUUUCUAGGGCCACACCCAUGGCAUGUGGAGGUUCCCAGGCUAGGGGUCUAGUUGGAGCUGUAGCCCCCGGCCUACACCAGAACCACAGCAACGUGGGAUCUGAGCCAUGUCUGUGACCUAGACCACAGCUCAUGGCAAAGCCGGAUCCUUAACCUACUGAGUGAGGCCAGGGAUCAAACCUGCAACCUCAUGGUUCCUAGUCGGAUUCGUUAACCACUGAGCCAUAAUGGGAACUCCAGGUUGCCCAUCUUGAAUGAACAUUUAAAAAGAAAUAGCUAAUGUGAACUCAGCCUUUUCCCUGCAACUAGCAAGUGAUUAUAGAAAUAUUCAAUUUUCAGUUCAAAAUUACACAGAGCAAAUAUACAGAACAGAAUAAUUAUUAUUUUUAAAAACCUCUUUAAAUACAAAUACUUAAUAUAGAAAAGUCAAAUAUAGAUAAGCCAUAGAUUUGAGAAAAAAAUCACAUUCACAUGCAUACAUGUUUAUAUCAGCAGAGACCUUAACACUAAGUUCCAACAUAAAAAACAGAAAUAAAGUUGACUUCCUUCAAUUGAAAUCCAGUGGUGAUACAGAUCAACACCUGCUUGACUUCUCUUCCACUACAGUGACCCUUGAGAAAUUUCCAGAGCAGUGCAGUGUGUUUUAGUGAUUCAUAUAUUCAUCAUCACUGUAAUGUUCUGUAUAAUUGUAAUUAAGUUGAAUUAAGCCAUACAGAAGAGACACAUCUAUUGUUGGACUUAAGAUUCUGGUUCCCACAUACAGAGCAUCAUCAAGGAUUUCUGUGUGGCUGAAGAAAGGGAAUUGUGAGAUAAGAGAUGACACUGAGCAUAAAUGAAGGCAAGUGACAGAUCAUGUAGAUCACAUGACCCAUGACAUGAAAUUUUAACAUAACUCCUCAAUCCAAAAUGCAAAAAAUAAUUCCACAUUUAUUAAGAAAUUGAAUGUUGUAAUCUGGAGGUUAAAAGAGAGGCAUCAGAUUGAAGUAAAAGCUUGAAGAUAAUACAUUAGUGGUAUUUCAAAUCAAGAAAAUGGAUGGAAGUACCCUGGGGAGAUUUUGUGUGUGUGUGUAUGGAUGUAUGCAUAUAUGUAUAUAUUUAAUACAUAAUGACCAUAUGGUAAAAAUAAAUUCAGUGUUGUGAAGAAUAAGUAAGAUCAGAAUGGAGUACAGUGAGAAAGGUUAGCUGAAACCUUGGAUAGGUAAAAGACAACCUGAUCACAUAACUAUCUGUGGACAAUGGUAUAGACUUUGGAUUUUAUCCAGAAGAUGUUCUGGAAAGCUGCUAGAAGAUUAAAGGCAGAAUUCUGACAGAUUUGCAUUUUAAGUAGAUAUCUGGCUCUGGCUGUUUUGGGAAGCACUGGAGACAAUGUGCUACCUUACGGGAAUGUUAGGAAAGUAUUGCUAUGACCUAGGUGAAUGAUGACAAUGGAUGACAAAGUGGGCAUGAUAAGAAAUUCAAAAUAUGUUAUAAAGGUCAAGCUUAUAGAACUUGCUGAUAAGCCUGCCUGGCAUAUUUGAGAAAAAAUAGAAAUCAACAGUCAAUUCUGGGGUUUUUACUUUUUAUUUGGAGGUACUACAUAAAUGAUGGUUGCACUGGGGCCUUAGGAAGAGCAGGGUUGUUUGGACAGUGGUAUAAUUAAGAACAUAAUUGAUAAAUUCCUCUUUUUCAUCUAAUGAAGAUGCUGAAAAGGUAGUGAAUAUGUGCAAAUUUGGAAUAUAAUGAAGAUCUCAAAGCUGGAAAUAUUAAUUAGAGACUACAUUUAGAUGGUAUUUAAAACCAUGGAUCUAGGCAAGGUGACCCAAGUAGUGACUAUAUAUAGAGAUGGAAGAGACAUGUGUUGUUCUGGUGAAGAGAAUGCUGAUGAUUAUGUCAUUAUUAUUUAUAGGUUAUAGAAAUAUUCUACCAGUCUGACAAAAAUAUAUCACUUUUUAUAAUGUCUACAAUUAAGCCCGAUUUUCUGAAUAUUUGUAGGUUUACAGGAAGUGAGUAUAUAGAACUAUGUUUAGUGUUCCCUAUAAAUUUUCCUACUAUUUGUCUCUACUCUUAUUUUCCUUUGGGUGUACAGCAUUCAGCCCCCUUCUCUUGACCUCCUCUCUCAUGAAAUAAUCUGUCUAAAUGUUCUCAUCUAUAGAAAUCUAUAGUUUAUUUUUUAGGAAGAUUUAAAUUUCUCACCAGUUAUUUUCAAGAUGAUUGAUUAUCUUUUACCAUCUGAACUCUUGGAAUCUUUCUCCACCAGAGGCAACUUAUCCAAUUAUUCCUUGCAAAUAAUUGGAUAAGUUAAAAAAAAAAACAGACUUUGCAGAAAUGCUUGUAUAUAUGCAAACAAAUAUUUUGACUAAAUAUACACCUUAUUUUUGUCUGAUUUUUACUUCUGAAAUUCUGUAUUUGCCAUAAGCUGUAUAAUUCAACCUACAGAGUUUAAAAAUUAAAUCUAAUGAAAUUUAUUCUUUAAUGCAUUUUAGGAAUUACUACAAGAUGAAAUUGUAAAAAAGUGGUGGGGUAAGAGGAAGUGUAAAAGGCAAGGUAGGUUAUAUAGCAUCAUUUGAAGUUGUCGAAAAAGAACUGAUCUGAAAGCUAGUUGCUCAAAAUAGUGCCCCAUAAUUUAAGAACUGUUUCUAGAUUAUAUCAUCCAGUUUGACUGAUCGUUCUAGUAAUACGCUUCACUUACUCUUUGAUAACAAUGGUCUAAAGAAUGUCAAGAAGAAGACUCCUUUUUAAAUAUAUCAUAUAUAAUAUUAACUCUGGAAAGCAGUAGGCUUGAUUACUAUUUUGCUUUGUUGUUAUAUGUUAUUAUUAUUAUUAUUACUCUCAUUCCUUAAAGGUAGUGCAGAUCAUUUACCAAGGAAUUCAUCCAUGCACUCAAAGUCCUCAAUAUCUUGUUACAUUGUUACCAUCUUGUCUCAGAACACCUGUCACAUCCUGUUUUCAUUACCUUGCCCAUAUUUCACAUUUUAACCUCUCUUCAUUUCAUGAUUUAUACAUAUUUAAACUUCAUCCCACAAGUAUCCAACAAUCAUUCAGAGCCUGAAUUUUAAUCAUCUGCAACAUUUGGACUAUUUUACCUUCACUGUUGUAGCUCUAUUCAUUUAUUAGCGUUUAGAAGCUAACUAACUAUGGUCAGAAUGGAUAGUUUGAAACCCAAGUCUUAAUGUGAUUGUGUUUAGAGAUAGAGCCUAUGGGAGGUAAUUAGAUCAUGAGGUUGGCGACCUCAUGAUGUGAUAGGUUCCCUUAUUAAGAAAAGACACUGAAGGAGUUCCUGUUGUGGUGCAGCAGAAAUGAAUCUGACUAGCAUCCAUGAGGAUGCUGGUUCAAUCCCUGGCCUUACUCAGUGGGUUAAGGAUCUGGCCUUGCUGUGGCUGUGGUGUAGGUCGCAGAUGUGGCUUGGAUCCCACAUUGCUAUGGCUGUGGAGUAGGACAGCAGCUACAGCUCCAAUUUGACCCCUAGCCUGGGAACUUCUAUAUAUGCCGCAGGUGCAGCCCUAAAAGGCAAAAAAAAAAAAA
rnacentral:lncRNA from 1 species